GUAGUUGGACCUGUGUUCCACGCUGUCGGUUCGCCGCCCGUCGGUGUCAACUGGCAUGUCCUGUGGAACGUCCUGCCGGUGGCGGUCCGGGCUUUCGGCUUGCGUAAGGGCUAACGCCCGAAGCAGGCCGAACAGUACCGGCCGCCGGUCCAAUCCCGCCACGGUGCUCUUCACCGAGUGUCGAGGUGGGCCGGCACGUUUACUUUGAACAAAUUAGAGUGCUUAAAGCAGGCUGGUGUCCGCCUGAAUACUGUGUGCAUGGAAUAAUAGAAUAGGACCUCGGUUCUAUUUUGUUGGUUUUCGGAACCCGAGGUAAUGAUUAAUAGGGACAGGCGGGGGCAUUCGUAUUGCGACGUUAGAGGUGAAAUUCUUGGAUCGUCGCAAGACGAACCUAAGCGAAAGCAUUUGCCAAGUAUGUUCUCGUUAAUCAAGAACGAAAGUUAGAGGUUCGAAGGCGAUCAGAUACCGCCCUAGUUCUAACCAUAAACGAUGCCAGCCAGCGAUCCGCCGAAGUUCCUCCGAUGACUCGGCGGGCAGCUUCCGGGAAACCAAAGCUUUUGGGUUCCGGGGGAAGUAUGGUUGCAAAGCUGAAACUUAAAGGAAUUGACGGAAGGGCACCACCAGGAGUGGAGCCUGCGGCUUAAUUUGACUCAACACGGGAAACCUCACCAGGCCCGGACACCGGAAGGAUUGACAGAUUGAGAGCUCUUUCUUGAUUCGGUGGGUGGUGGUGCAUGGCCGUUCUUAGUUGGUGGAGCGAUUUGUCUGGUUAAUUCCGAUAACGAACGAGACUCUAGCCUGCUAACUAGGCGAUUCCGGUACCCACAAUAGUGUUACCGGCGAUUCAAUUUCUUCUUAGAGGGACAGGCGGCUCCUAGCCGCACGAGACUGAGCAAUAACAGGUCUGUGAUGCCCUUAGAUGUCCUGGGCCGCACGCGCGCUACACUGAAGGAAUCAGCGUGUCUUCCCUGGCCGACAGGCCCGGGUAACCCGUUGAACCUCCUUCGUGCUAGGGAUUGGGGCUUGCAAUUGUUCCCCAUGAACGAGGAAUUCCCAGUAAGCGCGAGUCAUAAGCUCGCGUUGAUUACGUCCCUGCCCUUUGUACACACCGCCCGUCGCUACUACCGAUUGAAUGAUUUAGUGAGGUCUUCGGACUGGUGCGCGGCGAUCGGUUUAUACUGCCGGCCGCCGAUGUUGCCGGAAAGAUGACCAAACUUGAUCAUUUAGAGGAAGUAAAAGUCGUAACAAGGUUUCC
rnacentral:rRNA from 1 species